GGCGGGGUAGCUCAGCUGGUUAGAGCGCACGGCUCAUACCCGUGUUGUCGGCGGUUCGAUCCCGCCCCCCGCUACCA
rnacentral:tRNA from 1 species